AACGAACGCUGGCGGCAUGCCUAACACAUGCAAGUCGAACGAGACCUUCGGGUCUAGUGGCGCACGGGUGCGUAACGCGUGGGAACCUGCCCUUAGGUUCGGAAUAACUCCCCGAAAGGGGUGCUAAUACCGGAUAAUGUCUUCGGACCAAAGAUUUAUCGCCUUUGGAUGGGCCCGCGUUGGAUUAGCUAGUUGGUAGGGUAAAAGCCUACCAAGGCGACGAUCCAUAGCUGGUCUGAGAGGAUGAUCAGCCACAAUGGGACUGAGACACGGCCCAGACUCCUACGGGAGGCAGCAGUGGGGAAUAUUGGACAAUGGGCGAAAGCCUGAUCCAGCAAUGCCGCGUGAGUGAUGAAGGCCUUAGGGUUGUAAAGCUCUUUUACCCGGGAUGAUAAUGACAGUACCGGGAGAAUAAGCUCCGGCUAACUCCGUG
rnacentral:rRNA from 1 species